rnacentral:rRNA from 1 species
UAGGGAAUCUUCCACAAUGGGCGAAAGCCUGAUGGAGCAACGCCGCGUGUGUGAUGAAGGGUUUCGGCUCGUAAAACUCUGUUGUUAAAGAAGAACAUAUCUGAGAGUAACUGUUCAGGUAUUGACGGUAUUUAACCAGAAAGCCACGGCUAACUACGUGCAAG